GCGGGAUAUGUUGUGAAAGACCUUCCCACCACCACACAUGCUAUAUUUUAUCUUUCAUCAAGAUUUGCUGUAGCUAGCUGAUACAGAAAUGGUUUGAUGGGUGAUGAAACAGACCUACAUCUGUGCUUGGUAACUGGGGAAAUCCAUUACAAUGUCUCCACGUGACUGGACCUGAUCUUGACGGGGGAAUACCUGUACUGCAUAGUAGAAGGGAUGAUAGAUGGAAUAGGACCUCAAAAUAAAACACACGCAUACACAGGUAUCGCUCGGAUUAAUAUCUGGCCACCAUUUUUUUGAUAAUGUACAUGCAGGCUUUAUUGGCCAAUAGUCUGGUCUUCAGCUCUGGAGCAGUUUUGCUGUAUUUUGCUGUUCUUUCUACCGCUGUCGCUGGCGUGCAAGUCCUGAGAGCAAUGUACUUUGGAGUCAGUACGAGAAAUGUUGAGAAUAUUCACAGACAAAACAUUCUAGGCAGCACAAGUUUUUUUUUUUAUACAUCUCCUUCUGUAACAACCUUAAAAAGUCAAUUUUCCAUCCUGAACAGAGUGUUAUUUUUCUGAGCUUGCUUUCAGUUGAAAGGGACAUUCUGUAGGAGUUCCACUUCCAUUUGUGUGUUUGUUCUCUGCAGUGACUUUAUUGACCACAUGAAGAAUGAUGAUUUUUUUUCAAUAGUUUUUCAAGAGAAUCUUCUGAAGCUUGGGUUGAUUUGGAGAGGGAAGAGAGGUCAAGAUAACAACAAAAACCUCUUCAAGGGCAAAGCAAAAGCAGGCAAAAUGCUCCAAGAGUGCAGAAGAGUAGACUUCUGACAAAAAGAAGAAUGGCACAGAAGGACUAUAACUGACAUCAGGAGCCCCGCUAACUAUUUAGUCGGAAGCCAGAUGGUUGAUAAGGAAAAUGCAAGUAGCAGAUGACAAUCAGCGCACGCACUCCCUUAGUCUGCCUGCAUAUACCCCAGGACUGAAAGAUUCACCAA